rnacentral:rRNA from 1 species
CAGCAGUGGGGAAUAUUGGACAAUGGGCGAAAGCCUGAUCCAUCAAUGCCGCGUGAGUGAUGAAGGCCUUAGGGUUGUAAAGCUCUUUUACCCGGGAAGAUAAUGACUGUACCGGGAGAAUAAGCCCCGGCUAACUCCGUGCCAGCAGCCGCGGUAAUACGGAGGGGGCUAGCGUUGUUCGGAAUUACUGGGCGUAAAGCGCACGUAGGCGGCUUGGUAAGUUAGAGGUGAAAGCCCGGGGCUCAACCCCGGAAUAGCCUUUAAGACUGCAGAGCUAGCAGGUGAGAGAGGUGAGUGGAAUUCCGAGUGUAGAGGUGAAAUUCGUAGAUAUUCGGAAGAACACCAGUGGCGAAGGCGGCUCACUGGCUCAUACUGGACGCUGAGGUGCGAAAGCGUGGGGAGCAAACAGGAUUAGA